UACGUAGGUGGCGAGCGUUGUCCGGAAUUACUGGGCGUAAAGGGUGCGUAGGCGGCUCUUUAAGUGAGGUGUGAAAGCCCUGGGCUUAACCCAGGAACGGCACUUCAAACUGGAGAGCUAGAGUGCAGGAGAGGAAAGUGGAAUUCCCAGUGUAGCGGUGAAAUGCGUAGAGAUUGGGAGGAACACCAGUGGCGAAGGCGGCUUUCUGGACUGUAACUGACGCUGAGGCAUGAAAGCGUGGGGAGCAAAC
rnacentral:rRNA from 1 species